CACGUGGGGUGCGAGCGUUGUCCGGAAUUAUUGGGCGUAAAGAGCUCGUAGGCGGUGUGUCGCGUCGGCCGUGAAAACCUGCAGCUCAACUGUGGGCUUGCGGUCGAUACGGGCAUCACUGGAGUUCGGCAGGGGAGACUGGAAUUCCUGGUGUAGCGGUGAAAUGCGCAGAUAUCAGGAGGAACACCGGUGGCGAAGGCGGGUCUCUGGGCCGAUACUGACGCUGAGGAGCGAAAGCGUGGGGAGCAAACAGG
rnacentral:rRNA from 1 species